rnacentral:ncRNA from 1 species
AUAAAUACUGUGAUUGGGAAAAGUAAGUAAUAUAGAUGUUUUAAAGAGAGUGGGGUUAGGUGAAAGCCCACAAACUAAGUAUUGCUGAAAAUCGCCCUUGAGUUGCAAGCUGAAUUUUAGUAAGCUGAGCCGGCAUGCCGUUAUAAUUUUCAAGUUAGGCAUAUGAAAAUAAAUAGAAAAUCAAAGAUGCGACGGAUAUUUUGAAUCUUACAAGGAAACAAGUUCAGAUGAUAGUAAGGCUAUCUGAGGGUUCUGUUGACGUAGUAGGAUUCAAAAUAGGCUAGCAUACUGACUGGUUAUUUAUUUAAAUCUGCCUUAGUAUUUGGGUGGUACCGCGAACAGACUUCGCCCCAUAA